rnacentral:rRNA from 1 species
GGCAUACGGCUCAGUAACACGUAGUCAACAUGCCCAGGGGACGUGGAUAACCUCGGGAAACUGAGGAUAAACCGCGAUAGGCCAAGGUUUCUGGAAUGAGCCAUGGCCGAAAUCUACAUGGCCUUUGGAUUGGACUGCGGCCGAUCAGGCUGUUGGUGAGGUAAUGGCCCACCAAACCUGUAACCGGUACGGGCUUUGAGAGAAGGAGCCCGGAGAUGGGCACUGAGACAAGGGCCCAGGCCCUAUGGGGCGCAGCAGGCGCGAAACCUCUGCAAUAGGCGAAAGCCUGACAGGGUUACUCUGAGUGAUGCCCGCUAAGGGUAUCUUUUGGCACCUCUAAAAAUGGUGCAGAAUAAGGGGUGGGCAAGUCUGGUGUCAGCCGCCGCGGUAAUACCAGCACCCCC